GACGAACGCUGGCGGCGUGCUUAACACAUGCAAGUCGAACGGAAAGGCCCUGCUUUUGUGGGGUGCUCGAGUGGCGAACGGGUGAGUAACACGUGAGUAACCUGCCCUUGACUUUGGGAUAACUUCAUGAAACUGGGGCUAAUACCGGAUAGGAGCUCCUGUUGCAUGGUGGGGGUUGGAACGUUUCGGCGGUUGGGGCUGGACUCGCGGCUUAUCAGCUUGUUGGUGGGGUAGUGGCUUACCAAGGCUGUGACGGGUAGCCGGCCUGAGAGGGUGACCGGCCACAUUGGGACUGAGAUACGGCCCAGACUCCUACGGGAGGCAGCAGUGGGGAAUAGUGCACAAUGAGCGGAAGCCUGAUGCAGCAACGCCGCGUGCGGGAUGACGGCCUUCGGGUUGGAAACCGCUUUCGCCUGUGACGAAGCGUGAGUGACGGUAAUGGGUAAAGAAGCACCGGCUAACUACGUG
rnacentral:rRNA from 1 species